GUAUUUGGUGGGGCUGGAGCACUAGUCUUACAGAACCACACAUCUAUUUGAGCUGUAAAACACCCAAGGGAGGAGAUAGCCCCCAGAAACAGUCAGGUGUGAGAUAUUAUUCCAAGGAACAGGAGGUUUUCUAAGGGAAAUAUUAAUUUGUGUAAAGCAAGGUGUCAGCUCGAAACCCCCCAGCAGGGUAGGGGGACAUAUUAAAAGGAUUAUGGAGCAAAAUGGUAAAUGGUAGUAUUAUCCUAGGGCUAGAGUAAAAGAUGGUGCUAAGUUACACCACAAGUGCUGUGGUUGGUAGUUUCCUCAUUUCAGCAAACGUAUUACUGGGUUAUGAACCAGAGGAGGGACUGACUGUGGUAAAUUAGAAGCCACAGAAAGGGUUUGGAGCGUGCCACCACAGAGCCUGGCACUGUGACAUAAAGGUUAUCUUGAGCCAAUAGCACUUGAGAAUACACAGAGUCAAGAAAAACGCUUUGCCCCUCCCCUCUCUGCCAGGAAGUACAGGACAAGUCUUCAUCAUCAGAGACAACUCCAGACUCAUCAACCCAAAGAGCGCACUAGAGAAACCUACACAGACAGCCUUAUUAACUAACCCUUUUCUUUCACUAGUCUUCUUAUAUAUUGACCUUCGCACAGUUUGCAGCCCAUAGAAGCUAAACAACUUUUCCUUUGUCUUGUCAUUUCUCUAUAAAACUAUUGCUUUGUUAAGAUGCUCUAGAAGCCCCAAGUUCUAACCACCUCUUCUGUUGGAGAAGAUCAUCCAUCAGAUGUGACCAGUGGUUGACCUGGAAGCUGGACCUAGGUAGCUAGCUGGAGCCUCCGCACCCCACCCCCUGUCCUUGGAAUAUGUGUUCCCCCCACCGUUCCCACCCUAGGAGUCACUUUGGGGAUGCAGCCUUGAGAGAGCAAUGUGCUACUGAGACCAUCUGGACUGUGCAUGCGACUGAACCUCUGUAUAAACUUAUAAGAUUCUGCUAGGUAAGUGGGCAGAGCUGUUCAUUUUGCAGGGCCCAUCAAGCCUCAAACAUUAAGUUCCCUUGUUUGUAAAUCGGCCACCCACCAAUCUGAAGUGGCCCACCUUCUUCCCUGGUCUCUCCUUGGCCUCCAUGUUCAGGGGCCAGUUUGCAAACCAACACUUUUGAAUUCCUGAUCACUGAGUUUCCCAUGUCUAUGCUCCAGAUGCACAUUAGCAAACUUCUGGUUGUUGUUGUUUCCUUCUUAUUCUCUCUCUUGUCAACCUAAUUCACAAGGCCCCAGGCUGUGAACCCUAAGAAGGUAGAGGGAAAAAGUACAUUCCUCCACACUAACACCAUCAGGCAUGUCUGAAUGAUCAAUACCAAGAGCAGAAGAAGGCAGCUAUGACCUGGGCGCCAUACCCUGCAGUCUGGAGCAUCAUGGUGGUAAGAGGAGCACAGGAAAAGGAGGACAGGAGGACAGUAUUGCUGCUAAUCGCUAUCUGUGUGGUCUACACUCUAGUGAUCCCCAGAAGAUCAGAGGAAAGAUUUAGGCCUGGAGGUGGGGUGCGGUAGGGGUGGGGGGUGUGUCUUACACAUCCCUAAACAGGACUUGAGUCAGAGAAAUCUUACUGUGAUACUCCAAUCUAGCUAUUGCAUGCCUCAGUGGAACGGCUCUCCUGCCUGAGAACACAAGGGUUACACACAUCUGCCUGGUAUAUCACAGGCAGACUUCAUUUCAUUGCACUUUACUGCAUUCACAGUUAGGCAUUUCCUACACAUUGAAUAUUUGUGGUAACCCUGUGUCAAGUGAGUCUGUCAGCGCUAUUUUUCCAACAGCAUUUGCUCACUUCUUGUUUCUGUCACAUCUUGGUAAUUCUCACAGUAUUCCAAGCUUUUCAUUAUUAUUCUGUUUGUUAUAGAGAUCUGUAAUCAGUGGCCUCUGAUGUUACUACUGUAAUUUGCUGAAGGCUCAGAUGAUGGUUAGCAUUAUUUAGCAAUAAUGUUUCUCUUUUUUCUUUUUGGCUGUGCCCAAGGCAAGUGGAAAUUCUCCGGUAGAGAUCAGACUUGUGCUACAGAAGUAACCAGAGCCACAGCAGUGAUAACACUGGAUCUUUAACCUGAUGAGCCACCAGGGAACUUCACAAUAAAGUAUUUUUUAAUUAAGAUAUGUACUUGGGGAAUUUACGUCAUGGUGCAGUGGAAACGAAUACAACUAGGAACCAUGAGGUUGCGGGUUCAAUCUCUGGACUCACUCAGUGAGUUAAGGAUCCAGCAUUGCUGUGAGCUGUGGUGUAGGUCUCAGAUGUGGGUCAGAUCUGGCGUUGCUGUGGCUGUGGUGUAGCCCGGCAGCUACAGCUCCGAUUAGACCCCUAGCCUGGGAACCUCCAUAUGCCGCGGAGCGGCACUAGAAAAGGCAAAAAGACAAAAAAAAAAAAAAAAAAAAAAAAAAGAUUAGGUCAACCUGUUGCUGAAUCACUUUCUAUCCAUUGAUAGACAGUUUCAUUCAAAACAAAACCAAAACCAAUGGCUACUUUCUCUAUAUGCUUAAAAUUAUAGAUGUAUGUUCUGUAAGCAGUGGCUAAAAAGAAAAUGUGCCUGUUUUUGACUAAAGAAAAUCAUAUUUGUUAAGGCCAACUAUAGUGGGAAGUACAUUUCAAAUAGUUAAAUAAGUUAUUUGGACUCUAAAGGAAAAACAACUUUUUUGUUGCUCUAAAUUUUUACAGAAAUUUAAAAUCUAUAUCUACCAAUAAGAAGAGGGCAGUGAGACAAUUAUUUUUUCUACCAUAUGCUAAGAAGGGACUGUAUGCCACAUGUAUUAUUAUUUUAAGUUUAUUUUCUUUUGGCUUCUAAUAACAACUUUAUGAGCUAUUGUUACGAUGUCCAUUGUGUGAGUGAAGAAGCUUAUUCUUAGAGGGCUAAGGUCAGGAAACAGGCCCAGGACUGCACAACUGGAAAACAGCAGAGCGGAGAAGAGGACCCAGUCCCCUGGACUGCAAAAUCUAUUCUCUUCCCACUAUCUUAUGGGGCCCAAUUAUACUUUGAUCUACAAGAUCUCAGAUCACACUCUUCAAAACUGUUGUAGGGAAAAGAAUCACAUGAAUGCAGUAGGUCCUCUAUGUAGGAUAUAAGGUCCACACAUUUCAGCCUGGCCAACAAUAGACAAGUAAAUAUGAGAGAGAAACAUCCAUUCUCUUUAGUCAAUUUCUAGUCAAGGCGGUCAUAUUGAAAAUACCUUUUAAAGAUGUGACUAAAUAUGAAGAAUUAGUCUCUCUUCCUUCCUUUCCUAGACAUUGUGGCAUUAAGACUGGCAUUUUUUCCCCUUAAAUUGCAGACUAAGGUGAUUCUCUUUCAUAGCGUCCGAUACGAAAUACAAAAGGAAAAAAAUCCAACUAUAAUAUAAACACUGUUGCCUCCCACCCACCACACACACAAGUUUCAAAGGUAAGAAAAACAAAUAUAUCAUAAUCACAAAAUGCAUCUAUACAACGGAAUAACUACUCAGCAAUAGAAACAUACUGACAACUGACAUGAAACAACAUGAAUGAACUGCAAACAAAUGGUGCUGAAUGAGAAAAGGCAGAGACAAAAGGCCACUUACUUAAUGAAUCCAAUGAUAUGACAUUCUGGAAAAAGCAAAGUAAAGGAACAGAAAUUAGAUCAGUUGCAGAGGGUGAGUAGAGGAGGAAAUUAACUAAAAGGGGCAUGAGGAAAGUUUUACCUGAUAGAAAUAAGGGGUUCCAUGACUACGUACAUUUUUUAAAACUCAAAGGAUUAUUUGAAAAGGAUAAAUUAUACCUUAAUAAUCAUGACUUUAAAUUCUUUUUAAACUCAAAUUAAGGGAGUUCUGGAUGUGGGGCAAGUUAAGAACCCGACUAGUAUCCAUGAAGAUGUGGGUUUGAUCUCUGGCCUUGCUCAGUGGGUUAAGGAUCCAGCGUUGCCACAAGCUGUGGCAUAGGUUGCAGAUGUGGCUCUGACUUGGCAUUGCUGUGGCUGUGACAUAGGCCAGCAGUUGCACCUCUGAUUCAGCCUCUGGACUGGGAACUUCCAUAUGCUGCAGGUGCAACCCUAAAUAGGAAAAAAAAAAAAUUCCAAAUUAAAAAGAAAACGUGUCUAUAGCAA
rnacentral:lncRNA from 1 species